GCGUUCCUUCGGGGCAGGGUGAAAUUCCCGACCGGCGGUAGCUUGUGUUCGUACAAGAAGCCCGCGACCCGUUUCGCCUGUUGAAUUCGGUGCUGUAAUAAAUGACGGCAUCUUACAGGCGAGUCGCAGUGAUGCUGUUUGUUACUGCGCCGGUGGAUCUGGUUCAAAGCCAGAGCCGACAGUAGAGUCUGGAUGGAAGAAGGAGAAU
rnacentral:ncRNA from 2 species